AUAAAAAGCCAUUUUGUUUUCAUCUAACUGAUGCUUCCAGCUGUGAAGCCAUCUGUGGACACAUCCAGUGAGAUGCAUUGCACACCCAUGAUCCUGUCACCUUUCCAGAGCUUCACCUGAAAGCCCAUGAGACUUUGGAAGGACAUUAGAUAGAAACCCUAACACAAAGCUUCAUCCCUCUCAGAAUUCUCAGUUUUUGGAGCCUAUGGAGAAACAGUAGGAGUCUAUUGAGAAUGCAGCAGCUAAGGACCUUUUUUCCAGAAGGAUCCUCAUUGAUGUCUCUCCAGGUGCCUCAACCUGUACUAAGAAACAAAUUUACAUUCUAUCUUUAAAGUAUGAAGUAGUCUUUUACAAAUUACCACAUAGGAAUACAUUCAACCUAACAUAGAAGAUAAGUAUACUGCUCUCCUUUACAUGAGAAAGAGAAAUAUAGUUAGACAAAAAGAGAACUAUCUCAGGGAUAUUAGUUUCUUGAGGCUGCUCUGACAAAUUAUCAUUAAUUUGUGGUAUAAACAACAGAAAUUUAUUAUCUCAUAAUUAGCUGUAGAGUAUACAAGUUCAAAAGCAAAGUGUUGGUAAGGUCUUGCUCCCUAUCAAGACUUUAGGAGAGAUUUUUGUCCUUGUCCUUUGGGGUUCUUGGUUCACGGCCCAGGGUCUGCCUCUAUGACCAUGUCAUUUUUUUUUCUCUUCUAUCUGUCAGAGCUCUCCUGUAUGACUCUUAUAAACACACUUGACUUUGGUUGGGGGUCCUUCUGGACAAAGUCAUCUCUCCACCAUCCUCGGUGUAUGGUGAUACCUUGCUGUGGUCACUCAAUGGGAGAUAACGCUCCCAUUAAAGAUGCUCAGGUAGGCUUCAAGGAAGAUGGCAGAAUGGUAAGUAGCAGAGAAAGCCUCUGUGAGAUUUAAAGUCCAGACACUGGAACAUAGCAACAUGAGAAAGAAAAGAAGGAGGGAAGUAGGUCCCCUGAACCCAGAAUGGAUCUGAUGUGAGAAUUGAAGCCCAUGGGGAGAGCAAAGAGAGAAACUUCAGUUAAAAAGGAGGAGGCAGUGGGCAGGGCCUUCUCCCUAAGCUAGGACUCCCUGUGCAGAGGGGCAGCUCAAACUUUCAGAUGAACAGUGACUGAUGGCAACCCCAGCAGCCUCCACAGAGAGACGCACAAGUGGAGCAUUGGACACAGCGGACUGCAGCGAGCAGUGUGCGAUCCGAUGUCCCACCGGAGGACAGUAAUUGGCUGGUAGCCAUCUGGGAGAGGGGCCAACUUAACUCAGAACUCAGAAUAACUGCUGGCUCCAUCUAGUGGCCCCAGCAGAGUUCAAGCCAGCACAAGGCCUAAGAAUUGUUGCAGGAUGAAUGUGUCUAAUUCCAGCCUCACCAGGAGACACCAGCCUGAACUUCAGGAGAAAUAAAGUUGCAGGCUUGCUGGGGUUCUGCAUUGCUCUACCGCUAUUGCUGGCUUGGCGGCUGUAAUCACCAUGGCCCUGGAGCUGGUCUCCCCAUGCUGUCUACAACAACAGCAGUACAGCAGAGAUAAAGCAUGAAGUGAACACUUUCUUCUUUCUUUCUUUCUUUCUUUCUUUCUUUCUUUCUUUCUUUCUUUCUUUCUUUCUUUCUU